AGACCAUGAUGUGGGCAUUUCCUAAUAGCUCCUUGAAUCUUUCCCAUGUCUCGUACAAGAAUUCCCCGUCUUCUUUAGAGUAGGUGUUAAUCUUGGUCAUGAGUUU
rnacentral:snoRNA from 2 species